AGGAAACUAACAACAUACGCGUAAAAUGAUUUACUUUAAACCAUUUACAUUCAUGAUUCUUUACAUUGCUUUUCAUCAUUUCUUUUUACAUCACAUUUGCUCAUAAUAACACAUUACAUUCUUUUCUUUCUUUGCUUUAUACAUCAGCAUCUUCAAAUACAAAAGAAAAUAGAAGGGUAAGCUACUAACAAAAUAUAAAACCUGACUCGGGUUGCCUCUGUCUACGAUGCGAUACCUUUACCGCGGUCACUCGCUAGCUCACUCGGUCCCGGCUCUGU
rnacentral:lncRNA from 1 species